AGAAACUUAGGUUAACAACAAAAACCAAGGGCCUUCAAAGCCCUAAACACGGGGACCCCCGUAGUUUCUG
rnacentral:tRNA from 2 species